UACGAAGGGGGCUAGCGUUGUUCGGAAUUACUGGGCGUAAAGCGCACGUAGGCGGAUAUUUAAGUCAGGGGUGAAAUCCCGGGGCUCAACCCCGGAACUGCCUUUGAUACUGGGUAUCUAGAGUCCAGAAGAGGUGAGUGGAAUUCCGAGUGUAGAGGUGAAAUUCGUAGAUAUUCGGAGGAACACCAGUGGCGAAGGCGGCUCACAUGGUCUGGUACUGACGCUGAGGUGCGAAAGCGUGGGGAGCAAACAGG
rnacentral:rRNA from 1 species